rnacentral:lncRNA from 1 species
GGUCAGACUUAACUAAGAAGUAAGAUAAUAUGUGUUAUCUGAGCUCUCAUGACUUAGAGACUAAGUCGCUGCAAUAUGUUUAGAGAAGCAUCUAGGCAAAAAGUUAUCUAUGCAUCGAUGUUGCAUCAUCAAUAACUGUUAGGUGAGAUACACGAUAUCGGUAGCACCCACUAAAAAUCUUGCAUUGAUCGCGUCGGAUUUUUGCUUUCCAUCCGAAGAGUGUCGGAAUCCAAAAAAAUAGUGAAAGUCUAUUUGCAUCUUAAAAUUUCUAGAGUAAAUAUAAAUUUUAAGUAUAAAUAUCUAAUUAAAAUCUUUACUCUCAUAGAUAAACAAU